UACAGAGGUGGCAAGCGUUGUUCGGAAUUACUGGGCGUAAAGCGCGUGUAGGCGGCCAUCUAAGUCGGGCGUGAAAUCCCACGGCUCAACCGUGGAAGUGCACUCGAAACUGGAUGGCUAGAGUCCUGGAGAGGAAGGUGGAAUGCUUGGUGUAGAGGUGAAAUUCGUAGAUAUCAAGCGGAACACCGGUGGCGAAGGCGGCCUUCUGGACAGUGACUGACGCUGAGACGCGAAAGCGUGGGGAGCAAACAGG
rnacentral:rRNA from 1 species